GGGGACGUAGCUCAGACUGGGAGAGCGCCGCCUUUGCACGGCGGAGGUCGGGGGUUCGAGCCCCCCCGUCUCCA
rnacentral:tRNA from 1 species